rnacentral:rRNA from 1 species
UACGUAGGGGGCUAGCGUUGUCCGGAAUCAUUGGGCGUAAAGAGCGUGUAGGCGGCCCGGUAAGUCCGCUGUAAAAGUCAAAGGGCUCAACCUUUGAAUGUCAGUGGAUACUGCCGGGCUAGAGUCCGGAAGAGGCGAGUGGAACUCCUGGUGUAGCGGUGGAAUGCGCAGAUAUCAGGAAGAACACCCGUGGCGAAGGCGGCUCUCUGGGACGGUACUGACGCUGAGACGCGAAAGCGUGGGGAGCAAACAGG